rnacentral:rRNA from 1 species
CCUACGGGAGGCAGCAGUGAGGAAUAUUGGUCAAUGGGCGUAAGCCUGAACCAGCCAAGCCGCGUGAGGGAUGAAGGUUCUAUGGAUCGUAAACCUCUUUUAUAAGGGAAUUAAGUGUGGGACGUGUCCUAGUAUGGAUGUACCUUAUGAAUAAGGAUCGGCUAACUCCGUGCCAGCAGCCGCGGUAAUACGGAGGAUCCGAGCGUUAUCCGGAUUGGUUGGGUUUUAAGGGUGCGUAGGCGGCCUUUUAAGUCAGAGGUGAAAGGCUGUGGCUCAACCAGAGUAUUGCUGUUGAAACUGGGAGUCUUGAGUGUGGUAGAGGCAGGCGGAAUGCGUGGUGUAGCGGUGAAAUGCGUAGAUAUCACGCAGAACCCCGAUGGCGAAGGCAGCCUGCCGGGCCAUGACUGACGCUGAUGCACGAAAGCGUGGGGAUCAAACAGGAUUAGAUACCCCGGUAGUC